rnacentral:rRNA from 1 species
AUCUACGGCCAUACCACCCUGAACGCUCAAGCUCUUCUUAUCUCUGGAGCUAAGCAGGGUCGGGCCUGGUUAGUACUUGGAUGGGAGAAGUUGCUUACUGUCAUGGAGUCAUGGGAGGUGAAAAUU